UACUGUAGCUCCAAUUAAUGGUAGUAGAAGUUACACUUGUAAAUUCCCCCACGCAUUAAUGAGUGAACAGACCCCCUCUGUUUAGUUAACCAUCUUCCAGUUACCUGGCACUUUCCCCAUCCCUUGUGAGAUCUCAAAUAUUUAAUUAAAGCCUUUCCUUUUUUUUUCCUUUUUCUUUUUUUUCCUCCCCCCACUCUCCUUCAUUCAGUUUGUUGAGUUGUAAUUCUUGUUGGCCUGAUGCCUUGGCAACAUUCAGCACUUCUAAUUGCCUGUAUAGUCUGGCCUAGUCAUGGAGCCUUUUAACUUUCAUUCAGGCUUCCAGCAGUAUCAGCCUCACUGGUCACAAGCUUCCCACUCAGGUUCCGUUCACAGCCCUUUUGCUGAUUACUUGUUAUGUAUUUAAAGAGCUCCAUACUGUUUAUUUCAUUUCCUGUUUGAGAUAGUCUGUUUGCUUAAUUUUUUUCUAUGCUAAUUUAAUUUUAAACAUAUAGGGCUGUCUUCCUGGUCAAACAAGCCAGAAUUUUGCAUCCAUAUGUUACAUUAAAUAAUAAUAAAACAACAAAUAAUAGUCAAUGCUUUCUACUUCUAUAAUGUCUACCAUUCAAUGAUCUCAUAGCAUUCUUAUUUUACAAGUGGUAAAAUGGUGUCAAGAGACAUGAACUACUUGUUCAACAAUAUGUAUGACAUCUGUUACAGAGCCAGACACAGGAUUGAAUAGUUGGGUUUUCAUUAAUAGCAGUUAGUCUAAAAAUUGCAAUAUGCUAUAGGAAUUAUUAGGUUAAAAUAUGCUUCAGCAGAGUGGUGGAGACAUGUAUUGUAGAGACUUUUGUUCUCAGAAUAUCAUCUUUAUUGGCAUAUAAGGUGCAGAAUGGACAGGGGAAUCCAAUGGACAUUCAUGUGGACUCUGUAAAGGUCAGAAUGCAAGGGCAAAGAAGAACCAAUUGUCUCUGUAGCAAGUGUGAGUGGAGGCCAGGCUUGAAAAGAAGAAGGAACAUUCCUUGCUGGCUGGGGAUGGCUGUACAGAAAAACUGCUGCAAGGUGGACAGAAUCAGAGCCUUCUCUUCAAGUUCCUUAGCUCUGUGUGCUGACCUUGCAUAAAUGCCAUGUAGGUUUACCCUUGAGAAAAUUGGGCUAAUCUGCUUUGUGCUUGCCAGUCUACAGGAAUAAACAUGGUAAGAGGAAAGAAUAUUAAAGCA
rnacentral:lncRNA from 1 species